ensembl:lncRNA
UAUGACUAUAACCCACAGCAGAACAUGGCAUCUCCAUCCCUGGAAAGGUACAUAGGGCACACAGUGAGAGUGGGAGAAAUCAUCUCCAUCCCCGUUUUGAUCCUAGCACUUCUUCUCAGUGAAUGGUGAAGCAUUUUUAAACUGUCAGGAGAAUUACAAUUGUUUUCCUUCAAUCAUUAUUUGUUACUUGUCUUCUUCAAUUCGGGCAUUAGCUCAAUCCGUGUGUUGCAACUGUCUACUCUGAGUUCUACUUUAACAAUUCUUUGUUCGGGGGCUAAUAUUAGCAGCGAUAUAUUUAGCUGUUUCAACAGUUUGUCUCUCAGAGUGGAAGUGAAAGAGGUGACUCAUUAUUUCUGCUAUUUCUGCUGACUGUACAUUGUUUUUUAUUGUUAUUAAAUGUAAUAUUACCCAAGAGACCCCAGUCCCUGAGACUUGAUUCUAAACAAAGUGGUAGACUGCGUCCUUCCACAGAAUUGACAAGAGAAAACGGUUAAUUACACGCACAAUAUUAUUAUAGAAGUGAAACUAGCUGUGGGGUCAAAACAGUGGAGAAGUUUAGCCUCGCGCUUCAACCUCUUGGUUGCGUUAGAAAUCACACUGACCUUCUCUUCCUUUCUGAUUGCAUGGGAAAACACUGCAUGGGAAACAACUGACAGCAGAUGGGAAGGAAGUCACCUGACACACAUCUGACGCCCCAUUUAUACCUGGAGCUACAGUAAUAUGCGUCCUGUGUCCUGAUCUUGUCCACAUUCUCAUUUUUUAAAUUAGGACUUUUUAAAAACUUUUUUGUAUUCAUUCGAGCAUGGAAUUAAAUGAAGUAUAUUUUUGCAUCUCAGCCACAUCGUAACUUUACAUCACCCCAUCAUGGAGACUCGCUGCAUUUAAGGCUGUCCUGUGUCUCAGGUAUUAGGGCCUGGUCCGAGUGGAGCAGUAUGUCCUGUGUCUCAGGGAUUAGGGCCUGGUCCGAGUGGAGCAGUAUGUCCUGCGUCUCAGGGAUUAGGGUCUGGUCCGAGUGGAGCAGUAUGUCCUGCGUCUCAGGGAUUAGGGCCUGGUCUGGGGGAGCAGUAUGUCCUAUGUCUCAGGGAUUAGGGCCUGGUCCGGGUGGAGCAGCAUGUCCUGCGUCUCAGGGGUUAGGGCCUGGCCCACGGGGAGCAGUAUGUCCUGCGUCUCAGGGAUUAGGGCCUGGUCUGGGGGAGCAGUAUGUCCUAUGUCUCAGGGAUUAGGGCCUGGUCCGGGUGGAGCAGCAUGUCCUGCGUCUCAGGGGUUAGGGCCUGGCCCGGGGGAGCAGUAUGUCCUACGUCUCAGGGAUUAGGGCCUGGUCCGGGGGGAGCAGUAUGUCCUGCGUCUCAGGGAUUAGGGCCUGGUCUGGGUGGAGCAGUAUGUCCUGCGUCUCAGGGAUUAGGGCCUGGUCCGGGG